UACUACAGUCAUCAUGUGAUAACAAGAAAGGUAGUUGCUGGAUGGUGACAGUAAGCGGCUAAGCACAGCACCACGGCACAACUAAGCACAAAAGCUUCUCUUGCUGCUUCAAAUCGAGUUGACAAAAUAACAUUAGACGUGUCUUGCUUUAUGAUUUAUCGCAAUCUGUUGUAUAUGUGCUUUUUAAUUGUCAUGCCGGUUUAGCGGCUUUAAUUAGUGCACCCCGUCAACAAUAUAAAUAAAUAAAAAGGAAACAGGAAGAAGCUAUAUAUAUAGAUAUAUAGCUAUUUAUGAAUAUACACGCAUAUAUUCUUGAGAGAUAAUUAAAAGAAAGAAAAAGAAAGUGUUAUUCGCUUCUUUUUUCUUUUCUUUUCUCACAAACACAUGUGUCUCUAAUAAAUAUCAACAGCUGUACAAAUUGAUAUAGUUGAAGAAGCGACAAGGAAAAUAAUUAAUUUGCCAAGAUGUUUAAGAAAAAGUCAAGCAAAUCCGACCUGGAGAUGGAAUACCAGUGCACUAUAAGGUUCUUGGAUGAUUCCGAACCUAUCCAACUAAAUUUUAAGAAAGACUCAACAGGACAAUGGCUGCUCGACCAAGUGUGUCAACGCCUAAAUUUGAUCGAAAAGGAUUAUUUUGGUCUUCGAUAUGUAGACAUGGAAAGACAAAGACAUUGGUUGGAUCCUAUCAAAACAGUUUACAAACAGUUAAAAGAACUUAUAGUUUCUGCAAAGAAAAAUGACAAAGUCAACCAUGAUUCUUCAAGUGUCAAUCCAAUGGUGCUGUGCUUCCGUGUGAAGUUUUACCCAGAAGAUCCCAUGUCUCUACAUGAAGAAAUAACAAGAUACUGCUUGUUCCUGCAACUCCGAAGAGAUCUACAUCAUGGCCGUUUACUGUGCCCCCCAAGUGAUGCUAACCUUUUGGCAGCCUACAUAAUACAGUCUGAACUGGGUGACUAUGAUGAACAAGACCACCCUCCAGGAUAUGUUUCACAAUUUAAGAUGUUACCCAAGCAAAAUCCCAGAAUGGAAGAACAGAUUGCUGAAAUACACAAGACUCUUCAAAAACAAGUACCUGCUGAAGCGGAGAAGAACUUUCUGAAAAAAGCAGCCUCACUGGAUACCUAUGGUAUUGAUCCUCAUCAUGUAAAGGAUCAGAAAGGCAAUCCACUCUUUCUUGGAAUCACACAUCAAGGUAUUAUGACAUUCCAUGGUAACAGGAGAACCCACCUGUUCACAUGGAGUCAAAUGAAAAGAAUAGUCUACGAAGGCAAGAUGUUUAUUGUACACGUCAACACUGCUGAGGAUAUAAAUAUUGAAGAAACUGAAUUAUCUGAUGAGGAAAUCCCAAAGAAGAUGACUGGCAGCAAAUAUUUGUGCACUGGCACAGACAUGAAGCAACAACCUAUUGGUUACAAGUGCCCAACAACCAGUGCCUGUAAGUACUUGUGGCGAUGUGCUGUUGAACAACAGUUUUUCUUCACACUGUCCAGUUCAACAAAUGCUCCUAAAGUUCGGUCAGGAGGCAGUCUCUUAACUAGAGGUUCACGGUUUCGUUUCAGCGGGCGAUGUCAGACGGAGGCUAUUGCUGCCAGUGGUGGUAUAAGUCGCCCGGAACCUGCUUUUACUCGUUCCUCAUCUCUACCAAACUUUAACCACAAGAGAGAUUCUAAAGUACCUCUGCGUAAUAUGUCAAUGACCCGAGACGCUGCUAUUAAAGAAGCAAAAGCAAGAUAUCAUGAACUACCAGUGGAUGUUCCUGGAAAAGUAGAACAAGAGGAACAUGUCAGCCCCGAUAAAAUGAAUACAUCCAAAAGUGCACCAAUUGCUUCAAGUGAAAGCUCUUCUGAAGAGAAAACAUUGACACAAGAUGUCGAUGCAUUAACAGGAGAAGUGUCUCCAGUUUCAGUACAAGAAGCUCUACAAGUUCCUGGUGACCUUCAAAAGAGCAGUACUCCUGGAUCCGAAUCAUCUGAUGUUGUUCUAGCUGAAUCCCUCAAUAUGGAACCAGUACCCACGAUGAAAAUGUCUCUGGAUGAACAGAUCAAAGAAUUGGAGCAACAUUGGGUACAGACACAGAAUAGCCAUUUUUCGCCACUAUCGCAGGUCGAGGCAUCAGCUGUGUCAAACGAGAAGACGGCAGCAACAACACCUACAUCAAGCGCAAAUGCAAAAGCUCCUUCACUGUUAGAUCGUUUAUAUAAGUGCAAACCCAACAUGAUGUACGUAUCUGCUGUGAUUGCCUUGAUUAUUGCACUGGUGUUGAUUGUGGUGCUUGCUUCAAGUAUUCAACAUCCUAUAAUGGCUCUGAUUAGGCGACAAUUCAACCUUGAGCCUAUGAGUGACUACAUUAACGACAAGGAAUGACAUUGAGUGUCAUUGAGUGCUAAAUUUACCAUCUAGCUGUUGGCAUCAACUCAAACCAACUUUGACACACGUGUUUGGCUCAUUUAGAAACAUUUCUCAGAGAAAAGAGUUUAAAAUGAUUCAAUCUUCCUGAUUUUUGCCUAUUUUUGCCCCAGCUUGAGUCAACUUUGGUUACUGUUAUUAUUUUUGUCUCCAUAAAAUUGCUUUUUAUUUUAUUUUUCUAAAAGAUUGUUAUUUAUUAUACUUCGAUGUGUAAUUGCUGUAUAAUUCGCUUCCAUUUCGGCUACCAUUUUUUUUAUCUGAUUGUUUAUUAUAUUCUUUUUGUUGUUUUUUGUCAUUUUGUUAAUUUAUUAUUUUGAAAAUGUCCUUAUUUAUCAUCAUACCAUCUGUCUGUAUGUGUUGUGAAGGGAAUCAUUUUUAACUCAGAGUUAAGUGUUAAAUGCAAAAAAAAAAAUGUUUAAAGAAGGACAAAAGACUUCAACAGUGAAACAACUCAAUCAAGGAGAAAAAAAAUGUUUUCUUCUGUUUCCUGUGAUUCAUAAUGUCAGUAUUUUCAUCCCUUCAAGACUACCAUUCUCUUCAUUUUCAUAUUAUUGUUAUUAAGGCAGCAAGCUGGCAUAAUCGUUAGCAUGCUAAACAAAAUGCUUAGCCGCAUUUCAUCCACUCUUAUGUUCUGUGUUCCAAAUUCCACUGAGAUCAACUUUACUUUUCAUCUUUCAGGGUUGAUAAAAUAAGAACCAUUUUAGCACCAGGGUUGAUGUUAUCAACAUAUCUCCUCCCCCGAACUUGCCGGCCUUGCGUCAAAAUUUGAAACCAUUAUCAUCAUCAUUCAGGAAGGCAGUGAGCUGGCAGAAUUGUUAGCACACCAGGUGAAAUGCUUAGCAGUAUUUCAUCUGUCUUCACGUUCUGAGUUCAAAUGUCGCCAUGGUCGACUUUGCCUUUCAUCCUAAAACUUCAGGCCUUGUGCCUGUAACAGAAAGGAUUAUUACCAUCAUUGAGGCAGUGGGCUGGCAGAAUGAUUACUGCACCAGACAAAAUACUUUGCAGCAUUUCUUCCAGUUCUUAACAUUCUGAGUUCAAAUGUCACCGAGGUCAACUUUACCUUUCAUCCUUUCAAGGCUGAUAAAAUUAAGUAAUUGUCGAACCCUGGGAUAUCAUCAGCCAUCCCCUCCCUUAAAAUUGCUAGCCUUUUGCCAAAAUUAGAAAAAAUAUUAAGACAGCUGGCUGGUAGAAUCGUUAAUGCAUUGAACACAAUGGUUAGUGGCAUUUCUUCUGGCUCUUUGUUUUGAGUUCGAAUUCCUCUGAGGCUGACUUUGCCUUUCAUCCUUUUGGGGGAUCAAUAAAAUAAAUACCAGUUGAACACUGGGGUCAACAUAUUUAACUUUCCCCGCCUCCCAUCAUAAUUGCUGGCCUUGUGCUUAAAUUAUAACGGAUAGAUAUUAUCAUUAUGGCUAGCAUGCUGGGCGAAAUGCUUAGUGGCAUUUCGUCUGUCUUCGUGUUCUGAGUUCAAAUUCUGCUGAGAUCGUUUUUGCCUUUCAUCCUUUCAGGGUUGUGAAAACAAGUACCUGUUGAACACUGGGGUCGGUGUAAUCGACUUACCCCUGUCCCAGAAUUGCUGGCCAUGUACUAAAAUUUGAAAUCAAUAUUACUAUUAUUAUGACUGGUGAGUAAUCAGAAAUGUAAGAGCAUCAGCCGGAGUGCCUCACAGUAUUUAGUCUCCCUCUUCUUAAUGUUCUAAGUUCAAAUCUUGCUGACAUUGAUUUUGAUGCUUUCAUUUCCCAUCAGUGUCAACAAGGAUACCAGUCAUAUAUUGAAACCAGUUCAAUAAACUGUGUCUACCCCUGACACAUUUAAAACCCUGUGCCAAUGAGAAUUUCAUUUAUAACCAUCCGUUAUCAUCCAUCAUCAUUGUCAUCAUCACCAGUACUACUAUCAUAUUUAUUGUCAUCAUUAUUGCCUUCACAAUGUUGUGUGCUCAAAUGCUUUAUGUCUGUCAUUGUUUCUGCUUCAUCUAUUUCUAUCCCUCUCUCUUCCUCCUUCUCUCUUUCUCUCUCUCUCUCUCUCUCUCUCUCUCUCUCUCUCUCUGCUUCAUUGUUUUUGUAAGCCAUUAUAUUUAAGUUUCACGAAUCAUAUUUAAUUUUGUCUGUAAAUAAAAAAUAAAGCCAUCGAAGUUUGUUCUUUUUAACAAACAAACAAACAAACAGGACUCACAAAAAUAAAGAAGGAAUGAAAGUUAAAAAAAAGGAAUUAAAGUGAAAAAAAAAAAAAAAAAUGAAAAGAAGGAAACAAGAAUCAGAACUUUGUUUUGUUGAGAUUCUUCAAAUGGAAUCACCAGUACCCCACAAGAAAUGACUGUUUAAAUUUUUGUUUUGUUUUGAGCCAAACAUGAAGUAAAACUUCAGAUAUUUCAGCCAACAGUAA